GAUGAACGCUGGCGGCGUGCCUAAUACAUGCAAGUCGAGCGAACAGACGAGGAGCUUGCUCCUUCGACGUUAGCGGCGGACGGGUGAGUAACACGUAGGUAACCUACCUAUAAGACUGGGAUAACUUCGGGAAACCGGAGCUAAUACCGGAUAAUAUUUCGAACCGCAUGGUUCGAUAGUGAAAGAUGGCUUUGCUAUCACUUAUAGAUGGACCUGCGCCGUAUUAGCUAGUUGGUAAGGUAACGGCUUACCAAGGCAACGAUACGUAGCCGACCUGAGAGGGUGAUCGGCCACACUGGAACUGAGACUCGGUCCAGACUCCUACGGGAGGCAGCAGUAGGGAAUCUUCCGCAAUGGGCGAAAGCCUGACGGAGCAACGCCGCGUGAGUGAUGAAGGUCUUCGGAUCGUAAAACUCUGUUAUUAGGGAAGAACAAACGUGUAAGUAACUGUGCACGUCUUGACGGUACCUAAUCAGAAAGCCACGGCUAACUACGUG
rnacentral:rRNA from 1 species